CCUACGGGUGGCAGCAGUGAGGAAUAUUGGUCAAUGGACGAGAGUCUGAACCAGCCAAGUAGCGUGAAGGAUGACUGCCCUAUGGUUUGUAAACUUCUUUUAUAUGGGAAUAAAACGUUCCACGUGUGGGAUUUUGUAUGUACCAUAUGAAUAAGGAUCGGCUAACUCCGUGCCAGCAGCCGCGGUAAUACGGAGGAUCCGAGCGUUAUCCGGAUUUAUUGGGUUUAAAGGGAGCGUAGGUGGAUUGUUAAGUCAGUUGUGAAAGUUUGCGGCUCAACCGUAAAAUUGCAGUUGAAACUGGCAGUCUUGAGUACAGUAGAGGUGGGCGGAAUUCGUGGUGUAGCGGUGAAAUGCUUAGAUAUCACGAAGAACUCCGAUUGCGAAGGCAGUUCACUGGACUGCAACUGACACUGAGGCUCGAAAGUGUGGGUAUCAAACAGGAUUAGAUACCCCAGUAGUC
rnacentral:rRNA from 1 species